rnacentral:rRNA from 1 species
AUUGAACGCUGGCGGCAGGCUUAACACAUGCAAGUCGAGCGGGGUGAUGGUGCUUGCACUAUCACUUAGUGGCGGACGGGUGAGUAAUGCCUAGGAAUCUGCCUAUUAGUGGGGGACAACAUUUCGAAAGGAAUGCUAAUACCGCAUACGUCCUACGGGAGAAAGCAGGGGAUCUUCGGACCUUGCGCUAAUAGAUGAGCCUAAGUCGGAUUAGCUAGUUGGUGGGGUAAAUGCCUACCAAGGCGUCGAUCUGUAGCGGGUCUGAGAGGAUGAUCCGCCACACUGGGACUGAGACACGGCCCAGACUCCUACGGGAGGCAGCAGUGGGGAAUAUUGGACAAUGGGCGGAAGCCUGAUCCAGCCAUGCCGCGUGUGUGAAGAAGGCCUUAUGGUUGUAAAGCACUUUAAGCGAGGAGGAGGCUACUUUAGUUAAUACCUAGAGAUAGUGGACGUUACUCGCAGAAUAAGCACCGGCUAACUCUGUGCCAGCCGCCGCGGUAACAC